AGGCAUGUUGGUUUGGUUACUGACCGAGACCACAGUGAAGGCACAGUUUACCACGCCUGCUCCUAUGGUGGCAUAGACUGGACUCUGGACUCCUGCCUUCAUGAAGAUACUGGUGGAGUAGUAGAAAAUCUAGUCAGAGGGACAGCUGCUGGGAGAGCUGCAGGAGGAUGGAAAUGAUGAUAGGCUGGCGGUAGAGUGGCGAGCGAAAGAGCUCCAGGAUGGACACCUUCCUCUCCAUGUCCAUCCUUCUCUUCUCCUCCUUCAUCUCUGCCAGCAUGUCGCCCACCUCCUGCCUGCCCGUCAACCUCCUCAGGCCUGCACAAAGGAGACGUGUAAAGAGUGAGAACUGAGAGGAAGACCUUGUCCUGAAUGCACCCAAGCUGAAUGAUGCCACCCCUCGACCCGCACCUCCUCCGCACACCCCUCCUGACACAGUGCUGCAAGCUCUGCUAAGAUCCACUUUCCCGCUGUGGAAGCUGUGGGCUGCAGUCCAGUUGGCAUCCGGGAUGCAUUUUGUAGUUUGGUUAAAACUAUACAGUAUGUAUGCUGUAUAAUAUGCCGUUAUAUGGCAAUUAAGAUUUUGUAUGUGUGAUACAGUGCAUAGGAUUUUCUGCUUCUAUUGUUCUUGCACAAGUUAAUCAAAUUGUGAUAUGUAUGUAAACUCUAUAGUGUCUGAGUAUUGGACUGUCACUACCGAAAAGUGUGAAACCACUGACAUAGCUGGAAAUACGCACCUGGACCUAAAAAUUCACAUAGUAGUCGGUUUAAAUAAGCUUAGGUUGAUGUGACAUGACACAGGCAAAAUGUAAACUUCAAGUACUAAUACCUAAAUUAAGAGUGUGUGGCAUCCAGGU